GUCUGUACUCAAACGGGUAAACAACGAAGCAGGUUGUCGGAAGGUCGCCGCUGUGAGCCUGGCGGAAUCACUUUCCCUUUAUUUUCUUAGCCUCUUAGUGAACUUAAGAUCGGCAGGAGAUCGCAGGCGGGAUGUUUAGCGAUCCAACAGCAGAGGGUUACGGCGGGAGAGGCUAUCAGGCUGAGUCACUGACAGAAGAAGAAGAUGAGACGUCAGGACCAUCAGACCAUGGCAGUGGAGAGGGUGUGUCUGUGGCGGCCACAUCUCUGCUGGGGUUUCUCAGUUCUCCAUCAGGAAACUACAGCCCGUCACCUGGGGGGCCAUUCUCUGCCUUAACACCCAGCAUGUGGCCACAGGACAUACUGGCCAAGAUAGCUCAGACCGAAGACUCCGAAGGCCAGCCUGAGUUCAGAUAUGAUGAGUUUGGCUUCCGUGUAGAGGAAGAAGAUGCUGCAGAGCCCAUGUCCAACAAGUUACUGAGCACCCCGCUAACGGAGGACCCCCAGAACAGGCUGAAGUGGCAGGCGUACCUGGAGUUCACACAUAACCACGAGGUCGGCGACCUGACAUGGGACAAGAUCGAGGCCACGCUGCAGAAGUCUGAGAAGCUAAACCAGCUGGUCAUGUCAGGCAUUCCCCACAGCAUGAGGGAACAGCUGUGGCUCAGACUGUCUGGAGCUCUGCAGAAGAAAGUGGGAAGUGAGACAUCAUAUAAGGACAUCGUAAAGGCUAGUUCAGAUGACAACUCCCUGACAGCCAAGCAGAUAGAGAAGGACCUCCUGAGGACCAUGCCAAGUAACGCCUGCUUCUCAGACAAGGGCAGUACAGGCAUCCCCCGGCUGAGGAGGAUACUGCGGGGCCUGGCCUGGCUGUACCCUGACAUCGGCUACUGCCAGGGCACUGGCAUGAUUGCUGCAUGUCUGCUGCUGUUUAUGGAGGAGGAGGAAGCAUUCUGGAUGAUGUGUGCGAUUGUGGAGGACCUGGUUCCUGCAUCCUACUUCUCUUCAUCCCUCAUCGGUGUACAGGCAGACCAACGUGUACUGAGACAGCUGAUUGUAAGCUACCUGCCUAAGCUGGAUGGAGUGUUGAAGGAACAUGACAUAGAGCUGUCCCUGAUCACGCUCCACUGGUUCCUGACAGCCUUUGCCAGCGUGGUGCACAUCAAGCUCUUGUUGCGCCUCUGGGAUCUCUUCUUCUACGAGGGCUCCAUCAUUCUCUUCAAGAUCACCCUGGGCAUGCUGAAAAUGAAGGAAGAGGAGCUGUGUGAGCUGGAGAACUCAGCAGCCAUCUUCAACGCCUUGUCAGACAUUCCAGGGGACAUACAGGAUGUCGAUGAACUCAUAGAGAUGGCCAUGCAGACGUCAGGCUCCCUGACUGAUGUGGUGUUGGAGGCUCACAGGAGGAAACACCUGGCUUACCUCAUGGCAGACCAGGGACAGAUCAUAAACCCUGACACUACGGCCACCAACCUGCCCAAACAGCAACUUGUGAAAAGAAGACUUUCCAGAAGUAGAUCUUUCAUUGGGUCAUUACUAUUUGGUGAAGAGGAGCAGUCCGAGGUGGUGAAGGCCAAAAACAUCAAACAAACAGAGAUGGUGUCCAACCUGAGAGAAGCUAUCCUGCAGAUAGCUAAGCACUUCCAGUCUGUGGAUCCAAAGAACUGCAAUUUAGACCUGCAGGCAGACUACUCGCUGGAGAGCCACAAACAGGACCACGAGAACUUUGUCAACGUGUCCAGGAACAGGAGGAGACGGGCCAAGGCCCUGCUGGACUUCGAGAGGCACGAUGAUGAUGAGUUAGGCUUCAGGAAAAAUGACAUCAUCACAAUUAUCUCUCAGAAGGAUGAGCACUGUUGGGUUGGAGAGCUAAAUGGCCUGAGAGGGUGGUUCCCAGCCAAGUUUGUGGAGCUUCUCGAUGAAAGAAGUAAACUUUACACAACAGCUGGGGACGACCAAGUCACCGAGGCAAUCACAGACCUGGUCAGAGGAACGCUGUGUCCAGCGUUGAAGAUGAUAUUUGACCACGGUUUGCGGCAGCCGUCCAUCCUGGGGAGAACCUGCCACCCCUGGUUAUUCAUCGAGGAGGCUGCUCAGAGAGAAGUGGAGAAGGACUUUGACUCAGUGUACUCCAGACUGGUGCUGUGUAAAACAUACAGGUUGGAUGAAGAUGGUAAGGUGUUGACUCCAGAGGAGCUUCUCUACAGGGCCGUGCAGUCUGUGAAUAUGACCCAUGACACAGCUCAUGCCUGUAUGGACGUGAAGUUUAGAUCAUGGAUCUGCUAUGGACUAAAUGAGCAGGUGCUGCACCUGUGGCUGGAGGCGCUGUGCUCCUGUGACCCUGCUGUGGAGAAGUGGUACCACAGCUGGUCCUUCCUACGCAGCCCGGGAUGGGUGCAGAUCAAGUGUGAGCUCAGACUUCUGUCCAAGUUCUCCUUCAACCUGUCUCAGGACUGGGAGUUGCCCAACAAGAAGGAGGCAGCUCCUACUAAAUAUGGGGAAGAACAUCAGAUCCAAGUAAGACCAAAGGAUAAGUCUGUGUUUGCCCAUCUAACUGUCAUGUCCAGUGUUCUGUUUUGUAGCAAACUAACCCAUAAUUGUUCCAACAAAAGUGCUGUAGUCCUGUUAUAUCAACCCCUUGUAUGUUUGAGUAGCAGCUGUGUCUAUGUGAUGAUGACCAAACACUGAGCUUGAAUGAUGUGAAUGUAUCAUAAUACUGUUGAUUUCUUUUCAGAAAUAUGGAGAGGUGACUCAGAACCAACAGGUGUCCCAGCCUCUGAAGGAAGGUGUACGGGACAUGCUGGUCAAGCAUCAUCUCUUUAGCUGGGAGUUGUGAGCAACUGAUGUCAUGCUUCCCAUCAUGCAACAGUCUACUGAAUUCUAACCGCCCAACCAGGAUCUGCUACUACAGAUGAAGAUUUCUUUAUUUGCUUACUUCACAGUCACUGGUCCAAAUAUUCAAACUUUGUUAGCUUCAGUCUGCUUGAACAGUUACAACAGAACACAGUGUCUGACAGUGCAUCUACAACAUGUUGAAAACAGCACAGUGUGAAAUCUUCCCAAUUUAGGUAAAAGUUUGUUAUGUAGAAUAGUUUCCAGUUAGAUCUCAACACAGGCUUCCUUUAGUUUACCUCAGGGCUUGCAGGACAGUUUAGGUUACAUUGAAGCUUUGUACAUAAGACUGUCUGUGCAGAUGCCAUAUGAUUGGCUGACAGUUGUGUCUUGAACAACUAUCUGACCAACAUUCUCACCAGUAGAUGUUCCAAGGUAUCACAGUAUUCCAUAUUUGUGAGGUAGCUGGCUUGAAAGUAUAUGAAUUCUGUAUUAUGGUGGUAACCUAUAUAUAUACAUGUAGCUAAGUUGCUGUAAAAUAAGUCAGUGUUAUUGCUCUCUUUAGUGUCAUGCCAAAGUUCCAGCUGUGCUUAGCUUCAGUUCCAAAAUCAAACGAUUUUGAAUUCCAGCUGUAAAAUAAGAUUAUUGUUUUAUGAAUAGCUGAUGGAAAAGUGCAUGCAAAGUACUGGUAACCACAGUAUUUGUUCACCAACAACUAUGCUUCCUCUGUAACUCAAGUCUAGGAUGCUUGUUUUCCUACUAGAAUAGGUAGUCUUAUUAGAUAUCAUUUGAUCUAUAGGUAGGAUUUGACUCUUGUCAUAGCUCAAUUAGCUUCUAAGAAUGUCCCUGAAAAAUAACUUCUCCCUUGGCCAAAGAGAUGUCACCAUAGUCAGAUAUGACAUGUAAAGCACUAGGUGUUUACUUCCUUUAGUUAACAUUAAGAAGAAUGUAUGCAGCUUAGAAGCAGAUGAAAAUGUACAUAUUUGUAUUUUCUGUUUCUCCUUUUUCUUCCUAUAUAUGAAAGGACACCAGAUGAUCAUGUGAAACAAACAUGUAGAAAUUGAUUCUUGAUUUUUUGCUGUCUUAUGAAUUCUAUGUUAUUCUGUAUAGGUGACAGUGCAAUGACCACUAAUGAAGUUUUGCCAAAACCAAUGAAUGGAAGUGAAAACCAUUCUUGCAAUGUUAGAAUAACAGUAUUGCAAGGUAUGUGCCUACUGGUUGAUGGAUAUAUAAAGGCUAUGAAUGUACAACGGUGACUGAGAUAAUUUUCAGACAGCAGAAUGUAUAUUUUGAAUUGUAAGAAGCCUAUUAUAUGCUGCAAUAGUAAUAUAAUAUACUCCAGAGAUCUGUGUUAUCCUAGCUCUUCCAACAGUGUUGUCUGCUGGGGUUCAGGAAAAUAAAAAGUACAAUGAGCUAGAGCAA